AUCCUUUUGUAGUUCACGAGUGUGAUGACUGGGUACUCACACGCUCGUGUGAGAUGUGCCACCCUUGCACCUUGUUACGAAGUCGGCACAUUAUCCAUCGGAUA